AAGUCGUAACAAGGUUUCCGUAGGUGAACCUGCGGAAGGAUCAUUGGGGAGAUGAGAGGGAGAGAGAGUUGGAAUGGGUGAUUACAAACGAAUAUCUAUCUACAACAAUUACACAACAACUGCUGACAAUGGAUCUCUGGGCUCUU
rnacentral:misc_RNA from 1 species